rnacentral:lncRNA from 1 species
GGAAAAUGGAUAUGUGUAAUAGAAAGUUUUAAACUUCUUAACUUAAUCCUAUGAUUCCAAUCUUUUUGGAAGAUAAAAAAAUGGAAAUCCAAAAGCUAUUCUUUGUGUUUAUAAUGCCAAAAUUUCAAGUCGGCUCACUUGUCUUUUCCAAAAGCUAAUUUCUAUUUUAGCUUUAGUCCAGUCAAGAGAACAUGACCAUACGAAUUAAUACCCCUUUUAUCUAUACUAGGAUAAAGAUAUCCAGUGUGAAUCUAUUGGUCUAGUUCUCUAUCCGUAUAUUCAGUAGCGACCCUGUGCUCCAAGUAGGACCCCAGUGAAACUGAGGAAUAGACAACACCAGCAGAUUUAUCAACAAUAAUUAAUCAUGUUGAUACUGUGGUAGACUAGUGGUAAGGAUUAGUGAGUCAUUUACCAGUGGUAACCUUGGUUGUGCUGAAAUGCUUUAAGGGCUCC